CUCAGCAGGAAACCAUGAAAACUGCAGAAAGCCUGCGGGAGAGUCCAAGCAUGUGUGGAUGUCCAGGAGGAAAUACAGCCCCAUUGUUUGUGGAGCGCCUGGCAAUGGGGUGUUGCGGUCCAAGAACAGAGCUUCUAGGCAUUACCAGCACCCAGAUGGGGCACUGAAACAAUUCUGGCUUUGCUGAACUGGCUUCCCAAGAAGCACUUGUCUGCCCUCGUAAAAACCACAGGACUGACUCAUCUAAAUGCUUGCCGAUUUUUAACCCCAAAUCCUUUCAGCUUCCUGAGCGUUUUCAAGCUGCAGGCAGCAAGAAGGUAAUGUCUCAUGAGUCGCUGGAUGCGCAGUGCCAGAAUGAGAUCGUGAGACUCAAGCUGGCUGCAAAAGAAGGCGUUAGACGGAAGGGGGUGCUGCGGCCUUAGCGAGCUCUCCCCUACCCCUCCAGCAAAGUGUCAUAAGCCUCUGCAGGAACACAGAGUUCCCCAGCAUUCAAGCAGCUUUAUUGGCUCCCGAACAACCUGGAAGAAAGAAAACUGGGCUGCCUAGUGUGGGGCUGCUCUCUACUGGUGCGGCAGCCAGACAGGGUGCCUGUGUCUCCUCGGCACCAGCGCCUUCCCUGACUCACGCGUACCCUGAGAACUGGGGUGUUCCUGCUCCUGAAAGGGAUGAGAAAUCAGAGGGUCUGUUUUUGGCUGAGCGAGAGGCAGUGAGGAGGAGUAAGGAUGUCCAUGAGGAGCCCCGUUUCUCCCCACCUGGACCUCGAUGGAGCCGGCAGCAUGGUGAACUGCACCAUCAAGACGGAGGAGAAGAAGGAGGGCUGCUACGAGUCCCCGCCGGGGGCUGCCCCGAGCGCCGAGCCCCGUGCCAACGACUUGCCGGGGCCRCCGCCGAGAGAGGGCACCGACCCCCAGGCCCUGCCGCAGGUGGGUCCGGGCUCCGCGCGCUCCCUUUCUCACUCCUGGAGAGCCAAGGGGGUCAGGUCUGCCGGAGAUGCCCAGUGUGGGCAUCGCACCGCUCCGGAAGUGUUCAACUUGCCGCGGCCAUCCAGGAUGAACUCAAACGCUGUGGCCUUUCUGUAUUGCUGCCCUUGAUGCCAUUUUUGCUUUCRUCCAUGGUAGUGUCAGGUCACCGGCUCCCGGUCCUGUAUGUCUCGGUGUCGGCGCUGC
rnacentral:lncRNA from 1 species